UAGCGACGCGUUGUUUACCCAUUAUGCCAUUCGGCCAGUUGACGGUUGCUUUUGGCUUUUGUUGUUUUUAUUUAUACUGAAAAAUGGCAUCGGAAGUGAAAAAUUUAGAAGCCUACGGCAUCAUUGGGUUCGAUGGUUCAGCAAUCAGAGGCCUUAAGAUCCAUCCAGAUUGCGAACAUAUCGUGUACCCAAUGGGCAACAAAGUUUGCAUCCAAGAGUGGAAGACAAAAAAGAUGUACUUCCUCAGCGGACAUUCCAACAGCGUGUCGACUGUAGCAAUUUCCCCAAAAGGAACCUACGUAGGAUCUGGUCAAAUUAAUCACAUUGGAUUUAAAGCGUCUGCAAAAGUUUGGGACUUCAACAAACGGGUGCAAGUCGGCAGUCAUGAGUUGCACAAAGUGCGCGUGGAAGCCCUAACGUUCUCCUCUGACGAGCGCUACAUGAUAUCCCUAGGCGGUCGGGAUGAUGGCUGCGUGGUGCUGUGGGACUGUCUGGCUGGAGCCGCCACUGGUACGGCAGCCGCUGCCAAACUCACAACUGGAGAUGCCAUAACCUUGACAGCAUUGAAUUUGAGAGCUAAUUCUUAUGUUACUGGAGGAGACUCGAAUCUCCGCGUGUGGAACAUUCGCGCGGAGAGCAAGAACUUGGACGUUGUGGACGUGUCCCUCGGCAAGCUGCGCAGGACCGUCCGCUGCAUCGCCAUCAGCAGGGACGAUGCUUUCGGAUACGCUGGUACUACCACGGGUGACAUGAUUAAGUUCUCCAUAAAUUACCCGCCCGACCCCUUCGCUUCCAUCGCCCAUUGCAAGCCGGCGCUACUGGGGUGUCUAGCCAAAUGUGGUCCUUGGAAGAGAGGCAGGAAACCGGAUUCAAUUUGCUAUAGUCAAGGAAUAGAAUCGAUUCUGAUAAUGGACGACGGUUGUUUGAUUGUUGGCGCCGGAGAUGGCACCAUCGACAUCCUGGACGAAAUAAACUGGAAGGGCAGCUUCCCUAAAGGCAAGAUAUUGGAUCCGAAUAUACCGCACUUUAAGGCUUUGAAAACAACAAAAUUAGAGGGGAGCAUCACAUCGUUGGAGUUGAUGGAGUCACCGAAGCUCCAAGGCGCAAAGCGUCUCCUCCUCGCCGGCACGAGGACCAGCGAGAUAUACGCCAUAGACAUCGGCACGUUCGCUCCCGCCCUCGUGGUCACGUGCCAUCGGUGCGCCAUCAACGACAUCGCUUUUCCCAGAGGCAUGUCGGGCGUGUUCGCGACGGGCGGCGCGGGCGACGUGCGCGUGUGGGCUCGCGACACGUGCCAGGAACUGCUCAGGAUCGUGGUGCCCAACUUCACGUGCUCCGCUCUGCUGUUCUCCGGGGACGGCAAGUCUAUUGUUUCCGCAUGGAACGACGGUAACAUAAGAGCGUUCACUCCCCUUACCGGUCGACUGAUGUACUGCAUCUACAACACGCACAAUAAAGGCACUUCGGCCUUGGACAUGACUAAUGACGGCAGGACUCUAAUUUCUGGUGGAUGCGAGGGACAGGUGAGAGUGUGGGACAUAAGGCCCGAGAGUCAGACGUUGAAGAAGGUGCUGAAAGAGCACAAGUCCCCCGUGUCCGCUAUACAAGUGUCGCCCAACAACACGGAGGCGGUCAGCGCCGGCACCGACGGCUCCUGCAUCAUAUGGGACCUCGUGUCGCUGUCGCGUAGGCAGGUGAUGUACGCGAACACGCUGUUUAUGUGUGUGUGCUUCGAGCCGCGAGGGUGCCAGCUACUCACCGGGGGGACCGACCGCCGGGUCGCGUACUGGGAGACGGCCAGCGGGAACCUCGCUAGAGAACUCGAAGCGAGUAAAGCCGGCGCAAUCAACGGGCUCGAUAUAUCUAGCGACGGGGAACUGUUCGUCACCGGCGGGAAUGAUCAGAUGGUUAAGGCAGACGAGCAUACGGCCCACCUGAUGAUGAGUGGUUACCGUCGCUCAUGGACUUCAGCAUUGCCAGGGGAGAGCCAAGCCACUGCCUACCGAGCGCCAAGCCGCCGCCUACCGCGGUUGUUGUGGUUGUGUGCAGCUGUGGCGCUACCAGGAGGGCGUGUACACACACGCGGGGCUGGCGCACGCGGGCGCCGUCACGUGCUGCCGGUUCUCGCCCGCCGGGGACUGCGUCGUCAGCUGCUGCUCCGCCGGCUGCGUCAUCGUGUGGAAAGUUCCAGACCAAUACAUUACAAAAGAUCGAGCACCCGCGGAUAGGAAAAGCAUCACAGAAUCUCCGAAAACAUUGCAAGAUGAAUUAAAACUGCCUCUGUCUGAGAAGACCAAGGGGUCUGGCGAUCGACAGUUUAAAUUGCCUGGUGCUCCAUCUAAGGUGGAGAAAAUAGAAGCCAUGGACACAAGCCGAAGCAGCAUCCACUCGUGCUGUCCCUGCGAGGCUACGGCACGAUCCAGCAACAAAACUCCCCCGAAAAACAGCGGGGUUAAGUGCUGCAAGCCUCCAG